rnacentral:lncRNA from 1 species
GUACUCGUGUGAAAUAUCAAACUCGUCACCUCGAGCGAUCCAUAUGACUUUCUUCAAUCAAUCUAUAACCACAUCAACAUCCAUCUCGUGUUAAUUGCUUCAUUUAGGUUAAAUUCAUCACUAAUUUAGAAUACCCAAAUCCUCAGAGUUUCUUAUUUGGCUCUUAAUUCGCCGAAUUAAAAUAACCAACAAAUCCCUCUAAUUCUACUUGAAAUAUCAAGAUCUAUUUCAGUAACCCAACUCACUGCUAUCAAAAUUUCAUUGUAACCUUUUCCAAUAUUCCCAAUAUUAAUAGCAAUCAUAGUUGAUUACCAAUCACUAACGAAAUAGAAAAGUUUCUGAAAGAUAUAAGUUUAUCCCCUUUUUUAAUAUUCCCUUUUUUUGUUGAUAUAUACAGAAAUAUAUAAGUUUAUAACCCCAAACCUAUUAAUAUUCCUUUUUUUUGUUGGUAUAUACAGAAAUAUAUAAGUUUAUAACCCCAAACCUAUUAAUAUUCCUUUUUUGUUGGUAUAUACAGAAAUAUAUAAGUUUAUAACCCCAAAUCUAUAGUAUAAUUCAUUAAAAAAUUCCAUGACUACAUUAUUUCAUUAAUAUUACUUCUUCAACUAAUUCUUAACCCUCGACUCUAUAGCCAUGGAAUUUAUGAAUCAAAUCUAUAAAUCAAAUUUAAAAACUUACCUUUCUCUUCUUCUCUAUUUAAUUGGUUUUCUGUGUGUUGAAUUCCUGUCAUGCUCUUCAAUGGAAGGAGAAUGGCAAAAUCAUGUUGUCUCUUCUUAUUUUCCCAGCCGUGAGUCUUUCCCCCCUUUCCCUUAAUCCCUUUCUUUU